GACGAACGCUGGCGGCGUGCUUAACACAUGCAAGUCGAACGCUGAAGCACCAGCUUGCUGGUGUGGAUGAGUGGCGAACGGGUGAGUAAUACGUGAGUAACCUGCCCUUGACUCUGGGAUAAGCCCGGGAAACUGGGUCUAAUACUGGAUGCUACAUGUCACCGCAUGGUGGUGUGUGGAAAGGGUUUACUGGUCUUGGAUGGGCUCACGGCCUAUCAGCUUGUUGGUGAGGUAAUGGCUCACCAAGGCGACGACGGGGAGCCGGCCUGAGAGGGUGACCGGCGACACUGGGACUGAGACACGGCCCAGACUCCUUCGGGAGGCAGCAGUGGGGAAUAUUGCACAAUGGGCGAAAGCCUGAUGCAGCGACGCCGCGUGAGGGAUGACGGCCUUCGGGUUGUAAACCUCUUUCAGCAGGGAAGAAGCCACAAGUGACGGUACCUGCAGAAGAAGCGCCGGCUAACUACGUGCCAGCCGCCGCGGUAA
rnacentral:rRNA from 1 species